UCGGGAAUUUUGGGCAAUGGGCGAAAGCCUGACCCAGCAACGCCGCGUGAAGGAUGAAGUAUUUCGGUAUGUAAACUUCGAAAGAAUAGGAAGAAUAAAUGACGGUACUAUUUAUAAGGUCCGGCUAACUACGUGCCAGCAGCCGCGGUAAUACGUAGGGACCAAGCGUUGUUCGGAUUUACUGGGCGUAAAGGGCGCGUAGGCGGCAUGACAAGUCACUUGUGAAAUCUCCGGGCUUAACUCGGAACGGCCAAGUGAUACUGUCACGCUAGAGUAUUGGAGGGGCAAUCGGAAUUCUUGGUGUAGCGGUGAAAUGCGUAGAUAUCAAGAGGAACACCUGAGGCGAAGGCGGGUUGCUAGGCUGACACUGACGCUGAGGCGCGAAAGCUAGGGUAGCAAACGGGAUUAGAUACCCUCGUAGUCCCUGAGCGGGCUGGCAAGGCGCAU
rnacentral:rRNA from 1 species